UACGGAGGGUGCGAGCGUUGUUCGGAAUCACUGGGCGUAAAGCGCGUGUAGGCGGCCUUGUAAGUCUGGUGUGAAAGCCCGGGGCUUACCCCCGGAAGUGCACUGGAAACUGUGAGGCUAGAGUACCGGAGAGGAGGGUGGAAUUCCUGGUGUAGCGGUGAAAUGCGUAGAUAUCAGGAGGAACACCGGUGGCGAAGGCGGCCCUCUGGACGGAUACUGACGUUCAUGUGCGAAAGCGUGGGGAGCAAACAGG
rnacentral:rRNA from 1 species